rnacentral:ncRNA from 3 species
AGAGUAGUGAUAUCGCGUCAAGUGCCUUUGGAUGGGAGGUUGCCAAAGGACGAAGGAAGGGUUCCCUUCCGCGGUGGUGUCACGCAGCCGCU